rnacentral:rRNA from 1 species
GUCCAGACUCCUACGGGAGGCAGCAGUGGGGAAUAUUGCACAAUGGGGGAAACCCUGAUGCAGCGACGCCGCGUGAGUGAAGAAGUAUUUCGGUAUGUAAAGCUCUAUCAGCAGGGAAGAAAUAGCGACCUUUGGGUCGCCAGACGGUACCUGAUUAAGAAGCCCCGGCUAACUACGUGCCAGCAGCCGCGGUAAUACGUAGGGGGCAAGCGUUAUCCGGAUUUACUGGGUGUAAAGGGAGCGUAGACGGCAGCGCAAGUCUGAAGUGAAAGGCGGGGGCCCAACCCCCGGACUGCUUUGGAAACUGUAUGGCUGGAGUGCAGGAGAGGUAAGUGGAAUUCCUAGUGUAGCGGUGAAAUGCGUAGAUAUUAGGAGGAACACCAGUGGCGAAGGCGGCUUACUGGACUGUAACUGACGUUGAGGCCCGAAAGCGUGGGGAGCAAACAGGAUUAGAUACCCUUGUAAA